rnacentral:rRNA from 1 species
AGAAUCAACGCUGGCGGCGUGCCUAACACAUGCAAGUCGAACGAGAAAGUGGAGCAAUCCAUGAGUACAGUGGCGCACGGGUGAGUAACACGUGACUAACCUACCCUUGAGUGGGGAAUAACCUGGAGAAAUCUAGGCUAAUACCGCAUAACACCUACGGGUCAAAGGAGCAAUUCGCUUAAGGAGGGGGUCGCGGCAGAUUAGCUAGUUGGCGGGGUAAUGGCCCACCAAGGCAGUGAUCUGUAUCCGGCCUGAGAGGGCGCACGGACACACUGGAACUGAAACACGGUCCAGACUCCUACGGGAGGCAGCAGUGGGGAAUUUUGCGCAAUGGGGGAAACCCUGACGCAGCAACGCCGCGUGGAGGAUGAAGUCCCUUGGGACGUAAACUCCUUUCGACCGGGAAGAUAAUGACGGUACCGGAAGAGAAGCCCGGCUAACUUCGCGCCAGCAGCCGC